CCUACUAUUUUACACACCCGCCGGUCGCUCCUCACUCUCUCGACCUCGUCCCCCGGCUACAGUUCAGAAGGGCGGCGGGCCUGGCAGCGGCGAGGCGAUUUCACUUCCGGCGUUGAUCUCGCCGGCUCCUCCUCGCGUCCGGCGACCGUUCCGGUGCCGGAGGUGGUGAGGAGCUGCGGGAUCCAUGGCCGUUGUAUAUACCCUUAGCUCUACUAGCUAGUUUAGGGUUUCAUUCAUUCGCUUCGUCGACGGCGGCGCGAAGCUCAGUAGUUCCAGGCGGCGUCCGCAGGGUGCAGGCGGCGUUGUGUCCUUGGAAUAAGCUUCUCCAAUCCUUCCUCCACCUCGCGCGUGCGCAGCGGUGAUGGGCUGGUGAUUUCCUACCUCAUCAGAUCUGGAGAUUCAUUUGAAGCUUUGGAUCUGGGCGAUGAGGGCUUUUGUCCCUCCCCUGGCUUCUUCGGGACUGCCAUCGGCAACGAUGCCCUCUCUGGCGAAGCUUUAGGGAGGUAUGCCUACCACUAUUCUGGGAUUCCGGGUGAUGGUUUGCAUGCAACUGUGUGGUGACUCCUUUUUCCUUUCGGUUGCUUCGUUGUCCGUCGAUUUGGGGGUGCCGGCAUUGCUUGCGGCAACAACUCCCAUGUCCUCCGGCGGGCGUCAUGACCAAUGGUCAUUUUCUUCGGCUUGUGCGUUCAACGGCUCUACGGGCGUUGGCUUCAAGUUGCAACCUCGGCGUGCAUCUUCUCCUACCUCUGGUGCGAUGGCUGCCUGUCGAGGGGCUCCUCCAUUCGCCGGUGACGAAGAUAACCGGGAGACCCUUGUAUGGACUAAUAUGUAAUUUUCUUUUUAUUCAAGGGUGUUUGUGUAAGAGUUGCAUUGUAAACCUUUACUCUUAUAUGUGAAAUACAAUCCCGGUAUUCUAAAAAA